CAUCCGCAAAUCUGUGUAUGUGACCAAUAAACUUUGAAUUGAUAUAUAGCUCCAUAGUAAAACUUGCCUUAGAUCGUGUCAGUAUCAGACCAGUUGGCCAUAUAGCUGAUGAGAUUUUCUAAAUGACUAGGGAUUUUCCUAGAAUGAGGGAAUGUCACAUUGUCUGACAUCACUUGGCAGAUAUGAUCAAUUAUGAUCAAAAAUGACAUUAUUUGUCUACACUCUUAGAAAAGAAAGUGCUCUCUAAAACCUAGGGUCUGAAGAAUGGUCCCAAUCCCAUGGGGACAGCCCGAAGAAACCUUUUGGAAUCCUUUUUUCUUCUUCUUUUCCCCCUAAUUGGUAGUUACAGUCUUGUCCCAUCACUCCAACUCCCAUACGGACUCGGGAGAGGCGAAUGUCGAGAGCCAUGCGUCACACUGCUUCUUUGACACACAGUGAAGAGGCGACUCCGGGAUGCUGGCCUUCUACGCAGAGUUGCAAAGAACACAGAUACAGGACAGAGGAGCUCUGCCUAGAAGGCCAGCCUCUUCACUGUUGACGUUGAGAUUGAUGUUUUGCGGAUACUAUUUAAUGAAGCUGCCAGUUGAGUGAACACAACGUGCCAUUGGACAGAGGAGUGAUGGUUGCUGAUAAUGGGCCUCUGUACGCCUACGUAGAUAUUCUAUUUAAAAAACUUACAUGUAAAAAAAGCCAUUUCCAGCUACAAUAGUAAUUUACAACAUUAACAAUGUCUACACUGUAUUUCUGGUCAAUUUAAUGUUAUUUUAAUAGACCAUUAAAAAUAUACAUAUUUCAAUUAACAAGGAUAUUUAUAAGUGACCCCAAACUUUUGAAUGAUAGUGUACAUGUCAGUACAUAUACACAUCAAGCAGGUCACAAGGGGAGAGGCGCAGUGCCGUGAGGUGUUGCUUUCUUUGUUUUUUAAACCAGGUUUUCUGUUAACUUGUGCUAUAUAAGAUGGAAGGGAGUUCCAUACACUUACAGAAGUACGUUCGUCUCUAGGAGACAGAACACAUCUCCAUCCUGAGUGGUAUGACGGCUGCGUGGUCCCAUGGUGUUUAUACUUGCAUACUAUUGUUUGUACAGAUGAACGUGGUACCUUCAGGAGUUUGGAAAUGGCUCCCAAGGAUGAAUCAGACUUGUGGAGGUAAAAAAAAUGUUCUGUGGUCUUGGCUGAUUUCUUUUGAUUUUUCCAUGAUGUCAAGCAAAGAGGCACUGAGUUUGAAGUUAGGCCUUGAAAUACAUCCACAGGUACACCUCCAAUUAACUCAAAUGAUGUCAAUUAGCCUAUCAGAAGCUUCUAAAGCCAUGACAUAAUUUUCUGGAAUAUUCCAAGCUGUUUAAAAGCAGUCAACUUAGUGUAUGUAAACUUCUGACCCACUGGAAUUGUGAUACACUGAAUUAUAAAUUAAAUAAUCUGUCUGUAAACAAUUGUUGGAAAAAUGACUUGUCAUGCACAAAGUAGAUGUCCUAUCCGACUUGCCAAAACUAUACUUUGUUAACAAGAAAUUUGUGGAGUGGUUGAAAAACAAGUUUUAAUGACUCCAACCUAAGUGUAUGUAAACGUCCGACUUCAACUGUAAGUACUCAGAACCUUUACUCAGUACUUUGUUGAAGCACUUUUGGCAGCGAUUACAGUCUUCUUGCAUAUGACGCUACAAAUUUGGCACACCUGUAUUUGGGGAGUUUCUCCCAUUCUUCUCUGCAGAUCCUCUCAAGCCAAGUCAGGUUGGAUGGGGAGCAUCGCUGCACAGCCAUUUCAUGUCUCUCCAGAGAUCUUUGAAUGGGUUCAAGUCCGGGCUUUGCCCCAGUCUAUGGUUCUGAGCGCUCUGGAGCAGGUUUUCAUCGAAGGAUCCCUCUGUACUUUGCUCCGUUCAACUUUCCCCCAUCCUGACUAGUCUCCCAGUACCUGCUGCUGAAAAACAACCCCACAGCAUGAUGCUGCCACCACCAUUCUUCACUGAAGGGAUGGUGCCAGGAUUCCUCCAGAUGUGACGCUUGGCAUUCAGGCCAAAGAGUUCAAUCUUGGUUUCAUCAGACCAGAGAAUCUUGUUUCUCAUGGUCUGAGAGUCCUUUAGGUGCCCUUUGGCAAACUCCAAGCGGGCUGUCAUGUGCCUUUUACUGAGGAGUAGCAUCCAUCUGGCCACUCUACCAUAAAGGCCUGAUUGGUGGAGCGCUGCAGAGAUGGUUGUCCAUCUGAAAGGUUCUUCACAGAGGAACUCUGGAGCUCUGUCAGAGUGACCAUGGCCCAUCUCCCGCGAUUGCUCAGCUUGGCAGCGAGAUCUAGGAAGAGUCUUGGUGGUUCCAAACUUCUUCCAUUUAAGAACGAUGGAGGCCACUGUGUUCUUGGGGACCUUCAAUGUUGCAUUAAUGUUUUGGUACCCUUCCCCAGAUCUGUGCCUUGACACAAUCCUGUCUCAGAACUCUAUGACAACUCCUUCAACCUCAUGGCUUGGUUAUUGCUCGAACAUACACUGUCAACUGUGGGCCCUUAUUUGGACAAGUGCCUUUCCAAAUCAUGUCCAAUCAAUUGAAUUUACCACAGGUGGACUCCAAGUUGUAGAAACAUCUCAAGGAUGAUCAAUGGAAACAGGGUGUACCUGAGCUCCAUUUUAAGUCUCAUAGCAAAGGGUCUGAAUACUUAUCUAAAUAAGGUAUUUCCUUUUUUAAUUUGUAAGCCAUUUGAUAACAUUUCUAAAAACCUGUUUUCGAUUUGUCAUUAUGGGUUAUUGUGUGUAGAUUGAUGAGGAAAAAUAUAAAUUUAAUUCAUUUUAGAAUAAGGCUGUAAUGUAACAAAAUGUGGAAAAGGGGAAGGGGUCUGAAUACUUUACGAAUGCAAUGUAUAGAUGUUAUCUGAUGUAAGUUAUUGAUUUCAUGAACCUUAUUUCUAAGGCUACAUCUGUACAGUCGUGGCCAAAGGUUUUGAUAAUACUAAUUUUCACAAAGUCUGCUGCCUCAGUUUGUAUGAUGGCAAUUUGCAUAUACUCCAGAAUGUUAUGAAGAGUGAUCAGGUGAAUUGCAAUUAAUUGCAAAGUCCCUCAUUGCCAUGCAAAUGAACUGAAUCCCCCAAAAAACUUUCCACUGCAUUUUAGCCCUGCCACAAAAGGACCAGUUGACAUCAUGUCAGUGAUUCUCUCAUUAAACACAGGUGUGAGUGUUGAUGAGGACAAGGCUGGAGAUCACUGUCGUGCUGAUUGAGUUCGAAUAGCUUUAAAAGGAGGGUGGUGCUUGGAAUCACUGUUCUUCCUCUGUCAGGUGUGUGCAUCUGCAUGCACAGUGAGGCAAAGACUUUUGGAGGAUGGCCUGGUGUCAAGAAGGGCAGCAAAGAUCCACUUUUCUCCAGGAAAAUCAUCAGGGACAGACUGAUAUUCUGCAAAAGGUACAGGAAUUGGACUGCUGAGGACUGGGGUAAAGUCAUUUUCUCUGAUGAAUCCCCUUUCCCGAUUGUUGGGGCAUCCGGAAAAAAGCUUGUCCAGAGAAAACAAGGUGAGCGCUACCAUCAGUCCUGUGUCAUGCCAACAGUAAAGCAUCCGGAGACCAUUCAUGUGCGGAGUUGCUUCUCAGCCAAGGGAGUGGGCUCACUCACAAUUUUGCCUAAGAACACAGCCAUGAAUAAAGAAUGGUACCAACACAUCCUCCGAGAGCAACUUCUCCCAACCAUCCAGGAACAGUUUUGUGACGAUCAAUGCCUUUUUCAGCAUGAUGGAGCACCUUGCCACAAGGCAAAAGUGAUAACUAAGUGGCUCGGGGAACAAAACAUCGAUAUUUUGGGUCCAUGGCCAGGAAACUCCCCAGACCUUAAUCCCAUUGAGAAUUUGUGGUCAAUCCUCAAAGAGGCGGGUGGACAAACAAAAACCCACAAAUUCUGACAAACUCCAAGCAUUGAUUAUGCAAGAAUGGGCUGCCAUCAGUCAGGAUGUGGCCCAGAAGUUAAUUGACAGCAUGCCAGGGCAGAUUGCAGAGGUCUUGAAAAAGAAGGGUCAACACCGCAAAUAUUGACUCUUUGCAUCAACUUCAUGUAAUUGUCAAUAAAAGCCUUUGACACUUGUAAAUGCUUGUAAUUAUACUUCAGUAUUCCAUUGUAACAUCUGACAAAAAUAUCUAGACACUGAAGCAGCAAACUUUGUGGAAAUGUAUGUCAUUCUCAAAACUUUUGGCCACGACCGUUUAUUAACGUGGGCUAUUUUCAGCCCUUUCCUGGGUAGCUUAUCAGAGUGGAAAAGAACAAACAAAACAAGAGAAAAAUAUACAUUCGGCAGUCCAUUAAUCAGUUGGUGUGUGUAAGUGUGUGUCCCCCCCCCCCAACUGUCUUAUCUCCUCCUACCCCACUGCUCCCAGUGAGUGCCUCGCCUUCUACUGCCCAGCAACCAGCAGGUAGUUCCUACUCAGGUACAUCUUCAUCUGCUUAGCUGCCAUUCUCCCUAUAUAGCCUUUUGGAGUGGUCCUGUUUACAGAUAUGUUAGUAUCUUCAGACACAAUAUAGCAGAAAUGAUUACAGUUACAUGGAAUGUGUUUGUUAUGUCUGCUAUGCUCGUCCUCUUCAGAGCCCAGUGUGCUGCAACAGAUGAGUUCACGCUUCCUGGCCUUCCAGGUUUCUGGCCAGACCACCCUCUACCUGUCCACUGAGGUCCACUAACACCAACAUCAGCACACAGAAAUCUGACCCAUCCACAUGUGAUGCCAGGGUUGGCCCCCCAUGACCCUUCAGCUCCCUGCAGGGGUCCUUCCACCCUCCCAAGAGACCAGGAAGAUGGCAUACAAUGCAUGUCCGCAUUGCAUAGCAGAUCCACCACCAUAAACUGCGGGUGAAGGUAUGAAAAUGUGUUAAACAUCCACUAAAAUGUGUAUAAAAUCCCAAAAUUAUUAUUUGUAUCUAAGCCACACAUAACUGGCACUAUAUGUCUGUCUGUCCUCCCAUUUCUCAGCAGAAAACGCAAGUGGACUCACAAGCAAUCCACUUCGGUAUCAAGCCGGAGUUUCUGAAUCAGCAUGCUGGUCCUGACCUGAUUCAAGCCAUCCACCAUCAGCGGGACCGUAUUCAGUCCUCCACCCCAUUCUCUAACCAAGAGUCACACAGUACACAUCCUUCAUUUGGAGUUUUGGGGACAAUGAGUGCCACAGCAUUUGGUGGCAUGGCAAUCCUAGCACUAAGUGAGUAGCACCUUCAGUCUCCCUUCAGCAUUGGUUCAGUAUUAUGACAAUAUAAUCAUAAAGGAGGGAAUUGCCUUUUGAAACUAACAUUUCUUUGACUUGCUUAUUCUUCCUCCUCUUAAAAACAGACUAUCCCAUGAUCUAUCACAAAGACAAUCUAAAUGCACCAAAUGGAGAAGUAGGAGGAACUCCUGAGUGAUGGAGCAGGCAGCAGAAGACACCCCUGUCCUCUGAAUGACAACCUGAACGACCAGGAAUAUUCAAGCAGGAAACCUCAGGACAGGGAAUGGGGAAAGCAGCUGCACGUACCCAGAGAGAAGAUGGAGGAGAAACAGUACAUAGUGGAGAAACAUCAAGGCCACAAUGUUGCAGGGACUCCUGAUAUUUCACCGGGCUAAAGAGAAGUCUGUUCCUCAGACAAUGACCUUGAAACCUGAUCAGCGGUCCAAUGGCAGCCGUAGCUGGGAGUCAGGAAGAGAGGG